AGUUAGCGAUAAGCAUAUUAGGCAAUUUAGCAAUUCUCUUUUGCAGCCUCCUUUGACCAGAAGCACAUUACACCACAACACAUUUCUCUGAAUUUGGGUUAAAAAAUUAUAUUGGGUGGGCGCUCCUUCUUCUUCUUCUCCUUUCUUCUUCUUCCCAUUUGAUCUGGCCAAACAAUUUUCUCCCUUUGGGUUAAAGGCUGUAAUUUGAAAGGGUUUAUGUUUCUAGGUUUCCCCAAUUUACAGCCUCACAGAUACUCUUUCAAGUUUCUUUUGAAGGCUCAGCCACAUCUUUUCCUUUGCUUGGGUUUGCUCUUGGUUCACUGGAGGAUUUGGUCACCUCAGUGUAAAUAAGAGAGAAAGAGUGGGGUGUGGGGGAGACGGAGUAAGGAAGAAGAGGGAGGACGAGAGGAGGCAUUG